rnacentral:rRNA from 1 species
GAUGAACGCUAGCUACAGGCUUAACACAUGCAAGUCGAGGGGUAACGAGAGGGAAGCUUGCUUUCCUUGUCGACGACCGGCGCACGGGUGAGUAACGCGUAUCCAACCUGCCCCCAACUAAGGAAUAACCUUGCGAAAGUAAGACUAAUACCCUAUAAUUUCCUCAGAUGACAUCUGACGAGGAAUAAAGAUUUAUCGGUUGUGGAUGGGGAUGCGUCUGAUUAGCUUGUUGGCGGGGUAACGGCCCACCAAGGCAACGAUCAGUAGGGGUUCUGAGAGGAAGGUCCCCCACAUUGGAACUGAGACACGGUCCAAACUCCUACGGGAGGCAGCAGUGAGGAAUAUUGGUCAAUGGGCGGAAGCCUGAACCAGCCAAGUAGCGUGCAGGAUGACGGCCCUAUGGGUUGUAAACUGCUUUUAUACAGGAAUAAAGUUAGCCACGUGUGGUUAUUUGUAGGUACUGUAUGAAUAAGGACCGGCUAAUUCCGUGCCAGCCGCCGCGGUAA